GACGUAGGGCGCGAGCGUUGUCCGGAUUUAUUGGGCGUAAAGAGCUCGUAGGCGGCUUGUUGCGUCGGCCGUGAAAACCUGCAGCUUAACUGUGGGCUUGCGGUCGAUACGGGCAUCACUGGAGUUCGGCAGGGGAGACUGGAAUUCCUGGUGUAGCGGUGAAAUGCGCAGAUAUCAGGAGGAACACCGGUGGCGAAGGCGGGUCUCUGGGCCGAUACUGACGCUGAGGAGCGAAAGCGUGGGGAGCAAACAGG
rnacentral:rRNA from 1 species